UGAAGAACGAUGCAAAUAAAUUAUGUCCUUAAUAUGUUAACUUAUAUUCACAGUAAAAUCUUUGAAAAAAAAAAAAAAAAAAAACACACCAACUUAAAACCAUAUAUUAAUACAUUUUGGUUUUGGGUAACAUGUACAAUGGAGCUUCCAGCCCAGCCCAGGUCCAUCCAUAUUUAUCAAGUAUAUAAAAUAUAUUCCUCAACCAAAGUGCUCAACUCUUUAAAAUAAAACCAUCAAUCAGAUAUUCUUACGCAGAUGUUCAAUAAUCAGAAUUGAAGCCGUUUUAUGUAUUGACAAGCAAAAUUGAAAACUUGACAAGUACAAUUCAUUUUCCUAUUUGCAAAAAUGCUCUGCUCUCUCUGCCUUUGAGAUCUAUACCAGCUAUACAUCAAGACUUAUCCGCUACAUCAACUAUACAUGAGACUCCUGCUUUUCUAUUAUUUCCUUGUAAUUUUCCCUUUCCUCCUAAAUAAUGAGAACCCAUAUCCAUCCGUUUUUCAAAUAUUUGGGUUUACAAACAACACAACAGCAGCUCCUCUUUUUCAAACUUCUCUCUCUGAGUCAUUCUGAUAUUACACGUCCACAGAAGAGCUACUGACCAAUUCUAACUUUAACCAUUACUUGAAAAAAUCUACUUUAGUAUUGAAGGGACCUAUUCGGGUUUUUCCCAUUUCUCUAGCGGCCGCCUCGGGUACAUGAUUAUUGCCAACAAUGAAGAGAAUGCAAGACCAACUAUCCCGCUGAAAGGUUGAAAUGGGUGAGUCCCCGUUACCCACAGGGGAUAGUUGGAUGUAUAGGUCAAUAGGCCGCUUGUUUGCAAAAUAAAACUUGAAGCCAUUAUCCCUGCACGCAAUCCAAUUGGAAUGGAAAGGCUACCUUGGCUUCUUUGCCGAAAUCCUGCCAGAGCUAAAGAUAAAAGCCAAAGCCCCGGUAUUGACCACAGUGACCUAAAAACCAAUCAGAAGAAAAAAGUUGACUGUGAUGACAUGUCAAUGAUAUGUGGAGUGGGAAAUAAAAAUUUAUCUACCAUGAAUAGUAAUAACGUUUGUUGAGUAAAAGGAAAAUAAAAUGAGAGGAAAUGAAGAAUGUGCCUUGUAAUAUAAUGCUAACUGCGAAGAGAAAAAGGCAUUAUUAUUUUCAUAUAUUAAUACAUUUUGGUUUUGGGUAACAUGUACAAUGGAGCUUCCAGCCCAGCCCAGGUCCAUCCAUAUUUAUCAAGUAUAUAAAAUAUAUUCCUCAACCAAAGUGCUCAACUCUUUAAAAUAAAACCAUCAAUCAGAUAUUCUUACGCAGAUGUUCAAUAAUCAGAAUUGAAGCCGUUUUAUGUAUUGACAAGCAAAAUUGAAAACUUGACAAGUACAAUUCAUUUUCCUAUUUGCAAAAAUGCUCUGCUCUCUCUGCCUUUGAGAUCUAUACCAGCUAUACAUCAAGACUUAUCCGCUACAUCAACUAUACAUGAGACUCCUGCUUUUCUAUUAUUUCCUUGUAAUUUUCCCUUUCCUCCUAAAUAAUGAGAACCCAUAUCCAUCCGUUUUUCAAAUAUUUGGGUUUACAAACAACACAACAGCAGCUCCUCUUUUUCAAACUUCUCUCUCUGAGUCAUUCUGAUAUUACACGUCCACAGAAGAGCUACUGACCAAUUCUAACUUUAACCAUUACUUGAAAAAAUCUACUUUAGUAUUGAAGGGACCUAUUCGGGUUUUUCCCAUUUCUCUAGCGGCCGCCUCGGGUACAUGAUUAUUGCCAACAAUGAAGAGAAUGCAAGACCAACUAUCCCGCUGAAAGGUUGAAAUGGGUGAGUCCCCGUUACCCACAGGGGAUAGUUGGAUGUAUAGGUCAAUAGGCCGCUUGUUUGCAAAAUAAAACUUGAAGCCAUUAUCCCUGCACGCAAUCCAAUUGGAAUGGAAAGGCUACCUUGGCUUCUUUGCCGAAAUCCUGCCAGAGCUAAAGAUAAAAGCCAAAGCCCCGGUAUUGACCACAGUGACCUAAAAACCAAUCAGAAGAAAAAAGUUGACUGUGAUGACAUGUCAAUGAUAUGUGGAGUGGGAAAUAAAAAUUUAUCUACCAUGAAUAGUAAUAACGUUUGUUGAGUAAAAGGAAAAUAAAAUGAGAGGAAAUGAAGAAUGUGCCUUGUAA
rnacentral:lncRNA from 1 species